GGUUUAUUGGCGGAGUGGUAUCGAGCUCUACUCUCAUAAUUAUUCCGAACCUUAUUAGCUAUAUUAAUUGUUCGCGAAGUCGUAGGUUCGAUUCCCGCUCGGGGUA